GCUGGUCACACGCAGUCAGCUCUGGCGGGUGCAUUUGCACCACGAGAAGUGAGUUGUUAAACAUUUACCAGCACACACGCUGCAGGGGACCUAAGGAGAGUGAUGGCACUGGAAAGAGGAAUGCUCCUGCUUCUAAUCCUCCUUGAUAGAGGCGCUCCCCUUUUGUUUUUGAAGAAUUUAUAGAAGCUUUUCCACCGGGGAGCUUCAGCUAGGUCUUCUCAUCAGUGCUGUGUGCCAGACAAGCCAGAUGAUCAAGGAAGUACCUACACUUUGGACACUGUCAGUUUGCCUGGGGACUGAGAGCUUACAGUCCAAGCUUGCUUCAACUCUGGCUGAGGCCAACAGAGAGAGCCCAAAGACAACUGAAGGAGCGGCAGAAAACAAAUAUGGGAACGGGGUAAUUGGCUUCCAGUUCCUUCAUUCGCAGGUCAUGAAAAAAACCUGGGGCUAGACUCCAUGAGAGUUUUUUUGUUUUCUGUUUUGUUUGUUUGUCUGUUUGUUUGUUUGAGACUGAGUCUCGCUCUGUCACCCAGGCUGGAGUGCAGUGGCGCGAUCUCGGCUCACUACAAGCUCCGCUUCCCAGGUUCACGCCAUUCUCCUGCCUCAGCCUCCCGAGUAGCUGGGACUACAGGCGCCCGCCACCACGCCCUGCUAAUUGUUUUGUAUUUUUCGUAGAGACAGGGUUUCACUGUGUUAGCCAGGAUGGUCUCGAUCUCCUGACCUUGUGAUCCACCCGCCUCAGCCUCCCAAAGUGCUGGGAUUACAGGCGCGAGCCACCGUGCCCGGCCUGUUUUCUGUUUUUUUGAGACAGGGUCUUGCUCUGUUGCCCAGGCCCUUGAACUAUUCCACUUCCCACUCCUCCCCAGGCCCUUCCUAAUGGGACUAAGUCAUCCUCCACCCUCACCUACCUUCUGGCUGCUGUACCCUCCUCUCUAAGCUUGGGGAUUCUGCCACUGCUCACAGCUGGAAGAACAACAGCCUACAUGUCCAGGCCUUGCCCAGUCCAGAUGAUGCUUUAAAGGCCUUCUUCUUCUUCCUUUUUUUUUUUUUUUUUUUUUGAGAUGGAGUCUCACUCUGUUGCCCAGGCUGGAGUGCAAUGGCGUGGUCUCAGCUCACUGCAACCUCUGCCUCCUGGGCUCAAGCGAUUCUCCCGCCUCAGCCUCCCAAGCAACUGGGACUACAGGCAUGUGCCACCACACCAAGCUAAUUUUUGUAUUUUUAGUAGUGAUGGCGUUUCACUAUGUUGGCCAGGCUGGUCUCGAACUACUGACCUCGUAAUCUGCCUAUCUUGGCCUCCCAAAGUUCUGGGAUUACAGGCAUGAGCCACUGUACCCGCCCUAAAGGCCUUCUUUGAAAGAGAAAAAGAAGAGGUGGCAUUCUGUGAAGGAACAUCAAGGACCAGACAUCCAGCUUCCCCUGCAGCCCAGGUCCCCCUAGCGGUGCUUCUCUUCAGAUUGAGGACCUAUUCUUUGGAGUUCCGAAUUCCUAGUAGUCCAGCCCUCAGAUCUCCACCUUGAGACUCCACCCUCAAGAUUCUCAUUUUCUGCCUUUCCCUUCUAAGGCUUAAUCCCAUCGGGACUAAGGGAGGAGCCUUCCCUUCCAGCCUCACACAGGCAGACUAUCUCAAAAGAAAGAGAAAGCAAUUUUCCCUUGCAUGCUGGCUGUUUCACUUCCUUCUACUUUUAGGAAAUGGAUCAACCACACCAUCCAGCGAAAUUACUGUGAACACUGCCCUGGACCAACCACACCUUCCAGUGGAAUCACCAUGACCACCCCUCCAGGAUCAACCACAUUAUCCAGCAGAAUCACCGUGACCACGCUCCCUGGACCAACCACACCUCCCAGUGGAAUCACUACAACCCCCCUGCCCUGGGUCCACUAUAUCUUCCAGUGGAACUAACACAACAACCGCAACCUCCAGUGUCACCAGCACAAGUGCAGCCCCUCCAGGGAAUGAGGGAAGGUCUAAUGGAUGCCUGAGGCUGUGGGAAGUCAUCCUAGUCACUCUGGCCUUGGUUGCAAUGGCUGUGAUUCUCUUCACAGGGCUCUUUUAUUUCAUGAGUGCCUGAUGUGUGGGAAAUCCUUUUUCUGAGGGAGGGAGUGCAGGGAACUGAGGAGGGAAGCAGGGUAGAGAGAGUAGGGUCAUUGUGUGGCUAAUAGGGAAUGAGAAAUCAGGAGAGGGACAAAGCAAGACAGAGACAGCAGGUGAGAACCAGCAAGAGAGAGGGCUAGAAAAGCUGGUACAUGUUCAGAGGAAAUUGAUGAGGAGAGAAGGGGCCAAAGGAGUACUGAGGCUGGGGAGGCCGAAUGGGGAGUGGGGACACGUGGGAUGGGAGAGCACUGGAAGAGGGGCAUAACUCUGAACCAUCCAUCCUUUUGUUUUCUAGAGAAACUCUCUGUGCCUAAGAAACCUCUUCACCAAAGAUCUUCACAUCCCAAACCUUGGUCCAUGUCCUCAAGGAUAUCAUGGAGUCCAAGAUGGGUCAAGUGAGACUGAAACGGAUUUUAGAGACCAGUGUUCUCCCACAGGCAUGGAGCUGAUGAGGAGACACAGUGUCCCUAAAGGCAGGCACUUCACUGUCCUCAGGGUGGGGAGGACCAGCGGUCUCGGUUUUCCUCACUUGCCCCCAGGGCUGCUCCUCCCAGCUCUGCUCCAGCCCCUGACACUCCUACCUUCUGUUUAGUUCUCCCAGACCUGAAACAGGAGGCUAUCGCUAGUGCUGAAUGAUUAAAUAAGUGCAUCUGCUCUAUGUGACAGCCAGACUGUGGGUGUGUGCUUGUAUAUUGCUGUGAAGAGAGGUUUCCUAUAUCAUGAGGACACUCUUUCGCUGUGACCUCCCAGUUCUCAAAUCCUAGCAUGAAAUCCAGAGACCUCACAUCUGUCCCAUUUUCUUCCCCACUCCUUCCCUGCUCCCCGAGGCCUCUGGGUCGAUGGAAGAACGGAGUCAGGAGAGAUGGGGGAAGGCAGGUGCUGGUCUUUACAGACGUGUGUUGCAUGGCAGGAAAACAGCCUCUGCGUGAGCCUAGAACAUGAACUGGAGGAAAGUGAUCCUGUUUUCAUGUUGUGAGGUAGGAAAGAGCUUGCUACUGGGGCCACCCUUAGACAUGGCCACUUUUCCUGGCCACUCACGUCUGCUCUGGGCUGCAGGUGUGAGUUGCCACCUUUCUCUCCUGUGGGCUCCCAGCCCAGCAACUGUCCUGGGCAGGGAGAAUGUGCUCCCAGUUUUUGCAAGGGCAGGACUGGCUUGCCCUGCUACGGUCUAGAUCCUCAGCAGCUCCCCCAAAACCAGGCCUCAGAGGGCACACAUGCCAGUGUCAGCACCAUGCUCAGGCCUGGUCCCACCCAGGCUUCUGGUGCAACUUGCUCUCGCACUCGCACACGCACCCCACUGAUUCUUCCUCCCUGUGAAUCACUCGCCUCUGCUUUAUCAGUUUCACCCUCUGCUAAGUCUCUUCAGCUUCUGGGAUUCUCCUGGGUCUUUGGGAGAGCCUUAACAGGACCAAGCUGUUUCUCUAAGA
rnacentral:lncRNA from 10 species